AGAGUUUGAUCCUGGCUCAGGAUGAACGCUGGCGGCGUGCCUAAUACAUGCAAGUCGAGCGAACAGAUAAGGAGCUUGCUCCUUUGAAGUUAGCGGCGGACGGGUGAGUAACACGUGGGUAACCUACCUAUAAGACUGGGAUAACUUCGGGAAACCGGAGCUAAUACCGGAUAACAUUUAGAACCGCAUGGUUCUAAAGUGAAAGAUGGUUUUGCUAUCACUUAUAGAUGGACCCGCGCCGUAUUAGCUAGUUGGUAAGGUAACGGCUUACCAAGGCGACGAUACGUAGCCGACCUGAGAGGGUGAUCGGCCACACUGGGACUGAGACACGGUCCAGACUCCUACGGGAGGCAGCAGUAGGGAAUCUUCCGCAAUGGGCGAAAGCCUGACGGAGCAACGCCGCGUGAGUGAUGAAGGGUUUCGGCUCGUAAAACUCUGUUAUUAGGGAAGAACAAAUGUGUAAGUAACUGUGCACAUCUUGACGGUACCUAAUCAGAAAGCCACGGCUAACUACGUG
rnacentral:rRNA from 1 species